UAUAAAUGCAUAUCAGUUGCAAACACUAAACAAGAAAAUCAAGGAAAGAAAGGAAAACUGCCUUGUGAUGUGACAUCUUAUUUGCAUUUUAUAUUUAUUCCUUUACUGUCGUUUGAUCUGAGCGAACGACAAAAACAG
rnacentral:ribozyme from 1 species